rnacentral:rRNA from 1 species
GGGCUUGACAUCCCACGAACCUGCUGGAAGGCAGGAGUGCCCGCAAGGGAGCGCGGAGACAGGUGGUGCAUGGCUGUCGUCAGCUCGUGUCGUGAGAUGUUGGGUUAAGUCCCGCAACGAGCGCAACCCUCACCCCUUGUUGCUACCAGGUAAAGCUGGGCACUCUAGGGGAACUGCCCCGGUCAACGGGGAGAAAGGCGGGGAUGACGUCAAGUCAUCAUGCCCCUUACGUCCUGGGCUACACAUGUGCUACAAUGGCCGGUACAAAGGGAUGCCACACCGCGAGGUAGAGCUAAACCCAAAAAGCCGGUCUAAGUUCAGAUUGGAGUCUGCAACUCGACUCCAUGAAGGAGGAAUCGCUAGUAAUCGCGUAUCAGCACGACGCGGUGAAUACGUUUCCGGGCCUUGUACACACCGCCCGUCACACCACGAAAGCCAGCUGUACUCGAAGUCGCUGAGA